GCAUCAACAGUAUAUCAACAGCGAAUUAUUUUUCAUUUCAUUUGUAAGAAUUUAUUGCAUCUAUGUAGUAUAAAGUGUUAUACUUCAUUGUGGUCAUACAGACCUACAUAUUUGUAGCAUUAUAAAAACAUACUAUAAAUGCUAGAUUACUUAAUGCAAUGUGUACCUGUUCUGUUUGCAAACCCAACCCGUAACUAUGAGCUGGCAAAAUAAUAUUAUUUAUGCUACGCAGUUUUGAUCGUAAAACUAUUUGAUGAAAAUAUGCUUAUCAUUUCUUACUCAAGCACAUUAGAGUUGAAAUAAACAAUAUGAGGUUAAAGGGCAGACUGGCAGCUUUAAUUUGAGAGUAUUUACAAUUAUAUCAGGUGAUUUUUUUACCCCACGAUGGCCUGCUUUACUGGCAUUGACAUUUAUUUGGUCCUAAUGUUUGAGACAACAGCAACACACACCAAAUGCUAAUUCUAUACCUAGAAUCCAUGGUAGGCCUUUCGCUAGCCUCCUUAUGUAUGAGCUAAUGAUGCAACAACACACAGCUGGUCAAGAAACAGCAAUUGUCCAAAUACGUUUGCUCCCCUAAAAUGGAGGGACUAUACUAAAAAGGAAUGAAAUUCCUACACAGAUCACGCAAUAUGGAUGUAAAUACCCUGUGAUGCCAGGAAGGGAACUGAGGUGCAGCUGCCAAGGGGGUAUCACUACCCCUACACAUGGGUAUGGCCACAGCUGUGGCUCAUUGUAAUCAUAUCAGCUGUGGCCCAUUACCUAAUUAUGGGCUCUAUAAGAGACCUAGCUUCCAGGCCUAGGGAAGGAGUGUUUGGACAGUGUUUGGAAAAGCUGGGCUAUUCACAGUGUGGUGGGUUUGUGCCAGUAUUUGCAUGGUUUUAUGUUCCUUUUUCUUUGAAGCGCUUGGUUGUCAGAUUGGCUCUUUCUUCUUUUCUUUACGAUUUCUAAUGUUUUAAGUGUUUUUGAACCAGUGAAAGGUGAAAGAAACCAGGCACAAGUGAGAGAUUUGUGUUCUACACAGAAGAGAUCCAGGAUAUUGAACCAUACAUCACUUAUAGUGAAAAGACAAAUGUGAUCUAUAGUAGCUAAAGACGUCCAACCUCAGAAAGGAACAUUAAUUACAAGAAAGAAGAAUGGAUGUGAUGUCCCAGAAAUCUCAGCAUAAUUUUCCCACAUUAAAAAAAUCAUCAUCUACAACAGUAUUUGACUACUAUAUGAUGCUCAUCAGAUAGUGCCAGAUUAAUACUAGUGCAAGACUGAUGUUAAUUCAUAUGGGACUAUUUUUUCUAUUAUAAUGUUGGACUGUCAACAGCUACGAGCAUAUCCUAAUUUUUUUAAAGGAUGCUGUCAUUUUUUACAAGAUGAUACCAAAUAUAAAAUGAGAAUGUCGUUGAGAGAGUCGUUUGUGACGUCUAUUUUUUUCAUGAAGAAACUGCACAAUCAUAGAGGUCGAAGCAUGUUGAGGCAGUUCCAUAACUGGGGUUUUUAUUUUAUAGUUCACCAUAAAAUGAACUAUACAAAUUCAUUUUUUAAAAUGUACAUACUGUCCAAUGUGUGUUCUAAUAAAUGUAUGACCCAAAUAAAUGUGUUGCAUCACUAA